rnacentral:tRNA from 1 species
GCCACAGUGGCAAAAUAGUUAAGUGCUUGGCUGCUAAUCAAAAAAAUGGCAGUUUGAGUCUACCCAGAGGUG